rnacentral:rRNA from 1 species
AGAGUUUGAUCAUGGCUCAGGAUGAACGCUGGCGGCGUGCCUAACACAUGCAAGUUGAGCGAUUUACUUCGGUAAAGAGCGGCGGACGGGUGAGUAACGCGUGGGUAACCUGCCCUGUACACACGGAUAACAUACCGAAAGGUAUGCUAAUACGAGAUAAUAUGCUUUUAUCACAUGGUAGAAGCAUCAAAGCUUUUGCGGUACAGGAUGGACCCGCGUCUGAUUAGCUAGUUGGUAAGGUAACGGCUUACCAAGGCGACGAUCAGUAGCCGACCUGAGAGGGUGAUCGGCCACAUUGGAACUGAGACACGGUCCAAACUCCUACGGGAGGCAGCAGUGGGGAAUAUUGCACAAUGGGCGAAAGCCUGAUGCAGCAACGCCGCGUGAGCGAUGAAGGCCUUCGGGUCGUAAAGCUCUGUCCUCAAGGAAGAUAAUGACGGUACUUGAGGAGGAAGCCCCGGCUAACUACGUG